rnacentral:rRNA from 1 species
UACGUAGGGGGCUAGCGUUAUCCGGAAUUACUGGGCGUAAAGGGUGCGUAGGCGGUCUUUCAAGCCAGAAGUGAAAGGCUACGGCUCAACCGUAGUAAGCUUUUGGAACUGUAAGACUUGAGUGCAGGAGAGGAGAGUGGAAUUCCUAGUGUAGCGGUGAAAUGCGUAGAUAUUAGGAGGAACACCAGUAGCGAAGGCGGCUCUCUGGACUGUAACUGACGCUGAGGCACGAAAGCGUGGGGAGCAAACAGGAUUAGAUACCUCGGUAGUCCCUGA